GGUCCCUAUGUUCAAACUACACCCACUGUGGCACACAUUUUCUUUCUGCUGCCUGUGGAUCAAGAUGUAGAACUCUCAGCUUCAGCACCACAUCUGCCUGGAUACUGCCAUGCUUCCUGAAAUGAUGAUAACGGACUAAACUUCUGAACUGGUGUGACCUCCACGUUUGCUGGCUUGUUGGUCCUGGAAAUCUGUGAUGGCUGAUCUUGACUGGAUUUGGAUUCACCAUGGAAGUGCAUCUCUGUGCAUACCUGUGAGGGAUUUGACAGAUUAGGUUAAGUAAAGUGGAAUAUUGACUCUCAAUGUGGAUGCCACCACUUCAUGCUCUGUGGUCCUACACUGUAUAAUAAGGGAAGGGAACAGAGCACCGUCCUACUCCACUAUCUGCCGCUGCCCUGACCUUAGAUGAGAUGCGACCCGGCCUCUUGCUCCUGUCACCAUAUCUUCCUCACCAGGAUGUCCUGAACCUUCAGACUGUGAAAUGAGUAAACUCUGCCUUCCUUGUUGCCUA